rnacentral:rRNA from 2 species
CACGCUGUAAACGAUGAGUGCUAGGUGUUGGGUAGCGAUAUUCAGUGCCGGAGUAAACACAAUAAGCACUCCGCCUGGGGAGUACGGUCGCAAGACUGAAACUCAAAGGAAUUGACGGGGACCCGCACAAGCAGCGGAGCAUGUGGUUUAAUUCGAAGCAACGCGAAGAACCUUACCAAGGCUUGACAUCCCCUUGACAGAUGCAGAGAUGUAUCCUCCCCUUCGGGGGCAAGGGAGACAGGUGG